UUUGAUUCCUCUUUUGUGCUUGGCAGGUUACAUAUUAUUCAGAUCGGCUUCCAUAACCGAACUAAAAACAAUGAGCUGAAAGCUGCUGAAAGCUUAAUAGAGCUGAUUGAUGAAACGGUUUUAUUUCCCUUUAAGCUUAAAGGUUGUAAAAAUCAUUUUUCACACUGUCUCACAGCAUCAUUGUAUCCACUUGUUUCAGCACUUAAUUGAAGCCAUGUGAUGUUUACACUGAGUGAAACAUUCACGGAUGGGGCCGAUCCGAUCCACGGCAUUGGGUUCCGAUACCAACAUAAUUCACGGAUCUGAAAUUUCCAGAAAUAUCCAACCUGCGGAGAUUUCCGAUCCCUGAAACAUUUCUGUGUUUUCAUGUUGUCUGCUGAAAUGACUCCACAGGUGAUUCCCUGCCGGCUGCUCUGCUAACUGCCUGCAAAAUGUGGAAUGGAUUUCCUGAACGGAGACGUGUCUCAAUGAGACGCGGAGACGCCGCCGUUCAGGAAAUCCAUUCCACGGUUUGCAGCCAGCUAGCAGGCGAGCAUUGAGCAGCACCGUGGCUAAACAACUUUUCAGCGCAACAUGUCGCUGUGUGGAAGUAUUUUGCACUAGAAACACAACAUAGCAACACAGCAACGUGCAACGUGCAAUGUUUGCCGUUGUACCGAGGGUCGGAAGCUCCGUCGCGACCUAUAGUGGUAAUAAGUAGCGAUUAGCUCGAUGCUAACAAUAUGGAGAAUCCCAAUGACGGGCUAGCGCAUUAGCAUCGGUCGCAGUAUUAACUGUUACACACAAAUGAUAAACCAAAGCGGGACACCCUAACAGGGUUACCUCUGCAGCCACCAGCCCUGGGUUUCCACUUUCCAGCUGCCAUAUCCUGCUCUCUCUCUCAGGACGUCCUCAGUCAGCCUGGGCUCUGCAGCUGCUGUCAGGGUCUCCAGACCCAGAGGACAGAUUUAUUAUUUACUCUUGUUUGAACCUCUUCAACAACAGCUUCAGGAGCCACAGGUGUUGCUGUCGCUGAGGUAGGGACUCGAGUGAACAGGAGAAUGGAGGGCAGCAGCCAGCCAGAGGCCGUGCCUCCUGGCCUGAGUAGGAUGUCAGCCAUACUGUCAGACCCCCCUGAGAAGCUGCACAGCCAGACAGACUCUUUUCUCACUGCAGCUCGGCUUGUCCGCAGAGGAUGGAUGGAGGAGGGGAAGAAUACAGGGUGGCAGUUCUCCCGUUUUGACUGCUCAGAACGUCAGUCAUAUGGAAAUCAGGGUCCGAAGCAUGCUGAGAUCUGCUUGAAGGACCCCUGGAGCAGCCGGGUUUGUGUCGUGAACAGCAGGAAGACAGCUGAGGACAGAGAGGUGGACUCUGAAAAAAAGACAGAUGAAGUAAGACAGAAAGCUGAAGGUGCAUCCUCACCUCACAGACAGGCAGAGAGAUCGAAAGAAGUGCGUAUCUGGACAACUGGUUGUCGGGUCCCAUGCAGACAGCCCAGGAGAUUUAAGGCCCCGAUACUACCAGUCAUUGCUGAGAUAUAGACAAGUUUCAUUGAUGCCACAAUGAAUUAAAGGCAAGUGUGUGUAAAAAAACACAACUUGGUUACACUUCUUCUGCUACGUGAUAAGGGUAGUAGAAUCUAGCCCUUAGAUCCUGUGUUAAAUGGUGGAUGUUGAAUCCCAUGAAUGCUGUUGUGAUUCUGUGAAAGCACAAUCUAUCUAUGAUUUAAUGUGUUGAUGCGGAUUUUCUUCUGUUCAUUAAAACUCUAAUAUGUACAAA